rnacentral:rRNA from 1 species
AACGGGUGGAGCCUGCGGUUUAAUUGGAUUCAACGCCGGAAAUCUCACCGGGGCGACAGCAAUAUGAAGGUCAGGCUGAAGACCUUACCCGAUUAGCUGAGAGGUGGUGCAUGGCCGUCGUCAGUUCGUACUGUGAAGCAUCCUGUUAAGUCAGGCAACGAGCGAGACCCACGUCCACAGUUACCAGCAUACCCUCCGGGGUGAUGGGUACACUGUGGAGACCGCCGCUGCUAAAGCGGAGGAAGGAGUGGGCAACGGUAGGUCAGUAUGCCCCGAAUCUCCCGGGCUACACGCGGGCUACAAUGGUUGGUACAAUGGGCAUCUACCCCGAAAGGGGAAGGAAAUCUCUUAAAGCCAAUCGUAGUUCGGAUUGAGGGCUGCAACUCGCCCUCAUGAAGCUGGAAUCCGUAGUAAUCGCGUUUCAACAGAACGCGGUGAAUACGUCCCUGCUCCUU